GAUGAACGCUAGCGACAGGCCUAACACAUGCAAGUCGAGGGGCAGCACAUGAGUAGCAAUACUUUGGUGGCGACCGGCGCACGGGUGAGUAACACGUAUGCAACCUGCCUGUAAGAGGGGAAUAACCCGAAGAAAUUCGGACUAAUACCGCAUAAUACCACGAAUUCGCAUGGAUUUGUGUUUAAACAUUUAUGGCUUACAGAUGGGCAUGCGUAUGAUUAGCUAGUAGGUGAGGUAACGGCUCACCUAGGCAACGAUCAUUAGGGGUUCUGGGAGGGAGGUCCCCCACACUGGUACUGGAACCCGGACCAGACGCCUACGGGAGGCAGCAGUGGGGAAUAUUGGUCGAUGGGCGAGAGCCUGAACCAGCCAAGUCGCGUGAAGGAAGAAGGUUCUAUGGAUUGUAAACUUCUUUUGUAAGGGAAUAAAAAGAGUUACGUGUAACUUAUUGUAUGUACUUUACGAAUAAGGAUCGGCUAACUCCGUGCCAGCCGCCGCGGUAAAAC
rnacentral:rRNA from 1 species